rnacentral:rRNA from 1 species
CUGGCGGCGUGCUUAACACAUGCAAGUCGAACGGUAAGGCCCUUCGGGGUACACGAGUGGCGAACGGGUGAGUAACACGUGGGUGAUCUGCCCUGCACUUCGGGAUAAGCCUGGGAAACUGGGUCUAAUACCGGAUAGGACCAUGGACUUCACGGUUUGUGGUGGAAAGCUUUUGCGGUGUGGGAUGGGCCCGCGGCCUAUCAGCUUGUUGGUGGGGUAAUGGCCUACCAAGGCGACGACGGGUAGCCGGCCUGAGAGGGUGUCCGGCCACACUGGGACUGAGAUACGGCCCAGACUCCUACGGGAGGCAGCAGUGGGGAAUAUUGCACAAUGGGCGCAAGCCUGAUGCAGCGACGCCGCGUGAGGGAUGACGGCCUUCGGGUUGUAAACCUCUUUCAAUAGGGACGAAGCGCAAGUGACGGUACCUAUAGAAGAAGCACCGGCCAACUACGUG